CAGAUUAGAUCGCGAUGAACGGUCCAGAUUCACUUCCUAUUUAAUCGUGAUCGGAUGAUUCAGAUCAAAUGCAAUAGACGGCCUAGAUCAAAAGUGAACGGAUAUAAAUAACCCCAUCCACACUAAAUCUAACGACACCGAAAAUCCAAAAGAAAAUAUAUAAUAAUUUAAGUGCGGAAACGAAAUAAAAGGUUAAGCUUUACAUCCCUUACAUAAUAACUUAAAAGUAAUAAACAAAUAUUACGGAAUGAAUUCUCUGAAAGAAACACGAGAAAUAAGAAAAGUAAUAGAAAAUAGAAAGUAUCUAGCAUCUACUCGUAAUUUUUCUGCGGAUGGGGCUCUAGAACCAGAUCCUCUUGAACUAAAAUGGUUAAAUAAAGGAUGAUCUACACUAGCCUAGUAAGGAUAUCACACUAUAUCACCUGCACAGAAGUAAAGGUUGGUAUAAAAUUAAAAUAAUUAAUGGAGCACUAAAUUUAAUAAAUUCGUUUAUCAAUCAUAAAAUCAUUUACUGUUCACUUACCAUAGUGGAAUUUAUGAAACCAACCUAUAGAGAUAAUAAUACCAUACAUAUCAUAAUUUUAUGAACAAUCAACAACAUAGAACAUAUCAUAGAUUCAUAUCCAUUAAUAAUAAACCAAAUCAUAACUGUUUCUCAUUUCACCAACCUAUUAGUAUCCAUGGGGAUUCAUAGAGAUGUUCCCACUACAUGUAAACCCUUUCCUUUAACAAUCUCAAUUAUAGGGUCGUUCCCAUACCCGGUCCGAUAUGAGCGCCAAGACAUUAAACCUCAAUACCUCGUUCGGUAUGAAGGUGAAGCGGUCGUCCCAUACCCCAUCCGGUGUGAGCACCAAAUGACCAAGUCUCCAUACCCUGUUCGGUAUGAGACAACGUUCACAGUAGGGUUCCCUAUGAACCCGGUCUGUCCACCAUCUCCCAAGAUAUCUAGUGAGGCUGUCAUUCCAUCUAUUUAUUUGAUCACACCCCUUUCCUAUUUUCCUUAGUCUCCGUUACCAAAUCAAACAUAAUCACAUAAACAAAUAAACAUGCAUCCGGUAAUGCAAUCAUGUCUCAAAUCCCAAAUCAAACAAUGGUCAGGUAAGACAAUAAUACAUGCAUUUAAACCAUACAAUAGAUAAAUUAGAUACUAUCAUGCUUUUAGACUGUAAAAUAAAUCAACAGAGAACAAUGUCCGGUUCGGGCUCCAUUAGCAAUCCGUAAUUAGUUAUGCACAUCUAUUUAAUUUGUACAAAAUACCGUAUUAUUAUUUAUUUAAACUUCAAUUCUAUGAUAGAAAAUAGGGUGAGGGGUCCUUACUCGAUUUGACACCGAAAAGUUAAAUGGUUUAUUGCACCUACGGGCGGUCCCUGGGUUCCCUAAAUUUUUCUCCGAGAAUUAAAACACGCGUAUAGUACCUACAAAUGUUCCAAAUAAACCCAAAAUCAGUCCAAGGGCUCGCUCGGCCAAUUUCAAAAAUCCGGCACGGUGGCUUCGCCAAGCUCUGGCGAUGGUGUCGCCGUCCGCGCGGCGGUCCACCUUAGGUCGGCCGUUUUCAGUCGUUUUUUAUCGAAUUCUGCCGAUUUUGCAUCGAAUCCUGCGAGCACACACACUAAAAGGCCUCGGUGGGCCGAAAAAAUACGAAAAAUCAAAACUCACCGGCGGUGGGGCUCUCUGAUGUGAUUGCUCUCUGAUGCGAUUGCUCUCUGGCUCACGUUGCAGUUGGGUAUUUCGCUUCGGUCAACCUGUAGAGAAAAAAAUGGUGAUCACAACGGUAAAAAAAUUAUGCAAAGCGGGAAUCGAUAAGGGCCUCAUCGGAGGUGGUUUGUGAAAUUUCCCGCGGAGGGCGUGCCGGACUUCGUCAGUGUUUUUCGACCAAUUGGCUGGUUCUUUCACUCUGAUUUGCCCAUGGGUGGGUUUAAAAUUAAAUUUUGUGCAAAAAAAAAACUUUUUACCAUUUUUGGCAGUCGGAAAGGGUCCUGAUGCGGUAGCGGGUGGCGGGGUCGGCUCCUCGACGGAUGGGUUGUAUUCUCCGACAAGGGGUUCUGGCAGCUAGGGUUAGGGUUUGGGUGCGGAUUGGGUUAUUUAUACCCAUCUGCUUUUGAUCUACGUCAUCCAUUGCAUUUAAUCUGGACCGUCCGAUCACAAUUAAAUAAGAAGUGAAUCUGGGCCGUUCAUUGUGAUCUAAUCUGGGCCGUCCUUGCGCGAUUCACUCUGGGCCAUCCGUGCGAGUGGGAACGAACCUCAGCCAUUCGAUCGCACGCACGCGAAUCGCCCACGUGGCCUCCCACCUCAGCACAUCUGCUAGUUGGCGCGUUCUGCUUGGUGGGGACUACUGACCGGGUGUCCGACAUGGUGCAAUUUUUUAAAAUUAUGUUUUGACCUCCGGUUUCUGAUUUUUCUUUCAAAAAUACCCCCGGAACCCAAUUUUCACUCCCUUUUUUCAAAAUUAUUUUUAAUUUAAUCCUUAAUAAAUUUUUACCCCUUUGUUUCAUUAAAUUAAAAUAAAAUAUAAUAUAAUAAAAUAAAUUGAAUAAAUAAAUAAUUAUAUUUAUUAAUUAAAAAUGGAAAAAAAAAAGGUUUUGGUUGGUGUUACACUAAACCCUAACCCUAGCCGCCAGACUCCCUCGCCGGAGAAGAAGACCCAGCCGUCGAGAAGGAGACUGCCGCCACCCGCUGCCGCGUCGGAUCCCUUUCCAAACGCCAAAAGCAGUAAACAUUUUCUCAUUUGCUCAGAAUUUAAUUUUAAACACACCCAUACUAAAUUAGAGCAAAAAAAUUGGCCGAUUGACAGAAAAAUGUGGGCAAAAAAUGGCACCGCCGCUGUAGAGAAUUCCACAAAACACCUCCGAUGAGACAUUUUCCGAUUCCCGUUCUACGUAAUUUUUCUACUGUUGUGAUCACCAUUUUCUUCUCUACAGAUUGACCAGAGCAAAACACCCAACCGCAACGUGAGCCGGAGGAGCCGACGCACCGAGAGUCUCGUCGCCGGUAAGUUUUAGUUUUUAUGUUCUUUCGACCAACCGAGAACCCUUAACAUAUUUUCUCGGAGGGAUUGAUGCAAAAUUGGCCGAAUUUGGUUGAAAAAGAUCAAAAACAGCUGACCCGAGGCAAACCAUUGUCGCGGGCGGCGGCGCUAUCACCGGAGCAGUAUAGAGCCGCCGUGCUGAAAUUUUAAAAUUGGCCAAAAUGGGUCCUAAGACUGAUUUAGGGUUUGUUUGGGACAUUUUUAGGUACCUAUAGUACGUUUUGAUUCCCGAAAAAAAAUUUAGGAAACCUGAGAACUGCUAGUGAGUGCAGUCAAUAGUUUAGCCUUUCGGACAUCAAAUUGAGUAAGAAUCCCUCACCCUAUGCUCUGUUAUAGAAUUGAAGUCUAAUUAACAAUAAAUACGAUAUUUUGUACAAUUUAGAAAAUGUUCAUGAUUAAUUACGGAUUGGUAAUGGAGCCAAAACUAGAAACUAUUCUCUAUUGAUUCUGUUGAUUAUUUUUAUAGUUUAAAUGCAUGAUAGUACCGUAUUAAUUUAUUUUAUAACUUUGAAUGUAUGUAUGUUGUUUUACGUAUUUACGGUUAAAUUGAAAAAAUUGAGGUUUUAGGUAAACGGAAAACUUGUGUGAUUAAGUGACUGGAUGAAACGGCAACCUUACUGGACAUCCUGGGAGAUGGUAGAUGGACCGAAUACACAGGAAACCCUACCGUGAACAUGUCUCAUACCAGACGGGGUAUAGAGACUUGGUAACUUGGCUCUCAUACAGGAUGGGGUAUGGGAACGACUUAUUUCACCCUCAUACCGGACGGGAUAUUGAGGUUUGGUAAUUUGGCGCUCAUACCGGAUGGGAUAUGGGGACGACCCAUAAUUGAGAAUGUUAAAGGAAAAGUUCACGCGUAACAGAGACAUCCCUAUGAAUCCCCAUGGAUACUAGGAGGCUAGUGGAAAAAGGGCAAUUGUUGUUUGAUGAUUUGAAUAUGAAAAUAUAAUAUGUGUUAUGUUGCCAAUUAUCUACGGAAUCAUGAUAUAUAUAAUGUUAUUAUUUUCUAUGAGUUGUUUUCUAUAAAUCUCACUACGGUAAGUGGAUGGUAAAUGGUUUUAUUAUUGAUAAAUGAAUUUGAUUAAUUUAGUGCUCUAUUAGUUGUUUUUUUUUUUUCUACCAACCUUCAUUUCUGUGUUGGUGAUAUAGUGUGAUAUUAUUACUGGGAUAGUGUUGCUCAUCACUUAUUUAACCAUUUAAGAUCAAGAGGAUCAGGAUCCAGAGCCCGAUCCGCAGGAGAGUUGCGAGUAAAAUGCUAGUUUUCUUUAUUUUCCGUUCAUUUCCUUAUUUCUUUGUAUUUUUUUGAAAAAUGUGAAUUUCGGAAUACUAAUUGGUACUUUAAGUUAUUGUGUAAGGAAUGUAAACCUUGAACCUUUAUUUCACUUCCGUACUUUAAUUAUCAUUUAUUUCCUUUGAAUAUUUCAAGGGUCACUAUAAUUUUGCUUUAUAUUUUAAAAAUGUGAUUUUGAUACGUGUGCAUCACUCAUUAUGGAAAGAAGUUAUUUUGAAAGCAUCUGCAUUAUACUAGACUUCAAUCUAGCCAUACAUAACCAUUUCAUAUUCGAGUGUAUUAGCAAAGUGAUAAGUGUGUACCCAUAAAUAACCAUUUCGUGUUUGAGUGUAUGGAGAAACAGUCUGAUCUGCGUACUUUAACUGUUCUGUGUUCAGAGGGUAACAAUAUUUUAAAGUACUCAUAUAUGUCAUUCCGUAUUCGAGUACAUAGAGAACUAGUGAUAAAUAUCUGUUUCUAUGCAUAAUGUAUGGUAAUUAAUUGAUCCUUCAUAAUAGUGAUGAAGCAUACAAUAUGAAUCUGUUUUCUGAUUUGUACGUUCGUCUUCUGAUUCGUAUCUGUUUUGGAAAAGAUUAUAUGAUAUAUGUUUUGUUGUAUUUAAAGAAACUAUAUAUUGUAUGUACUAUGUUGUGAUUUCAUAAUAUUGCUUAUUAGGAUAUUUUAUCUCAUCCUCUAUUACCAUCAAUAUACUGAAGAUAUCACUGCAGAGUGAGCGGUGAUACGAAUGAAAUUUCUGAAGUUUAGACUGUAAUAUUAAGGUUACUGUUUCUUAUUUUUAUUUAAUAAUGUAAGUAAUAAAAUUUAAAGUCUCGUACAUAUAUUUAUAUUUUAUAUUUAAGGAAUAUAACGUUUCUGUAAUUUUUUUAUUAUUAAUAAAAUUAAGUUAUUUUACUUAACUCGAGUUUAUAUGAUUUAAAAAAAUAGGCUCCCGUUAUUACCCUAUAAGACGGGGUAUGGUCUGUAACAAAUUUUAUUUCUAAUACUUAAAAAUUUUCUUUUAUUAUCAUAAACGUUUCAUCAUGCUAUGCCAUUAACAGAACCGGUACCAUUAUGGAAUUUGCAUUCCUACUACUACAUGGGCAGGAGCACAUAACACAUGCAUCAAAUUGGUCAUAACAUUACAUCGGUAGGUGACCUAUAUCACAUAGACACAUCCCAUCAACGUCAGGACUAGGCUUUCUAUCCACCCAUGGGUAGGGUUCACCACCCUCGAAUUUCAACCAUAUUAGCCAAAACAAAUUUCUAAAUAUUUUAACUCUCCAAGUUUCUUUUUCUUUUCUUUUAUUUAUUUCUUAUUAACGAAUUGCUAUAUUACUACUAUCUAUUACUUAUUUAUUUUCUUUCUCAAGAUCUUAGACUUAUUUAAUUAUUUCACUAAUUUUCUCUUAUCUCAAAAUCUUUUUCUCUGUUUUUAAUUCAAUCAUCCAAUUUAAUUUUCAUUAUUUUGUCUAAUUAAUUAAUUUUGUAUUUCUUUAUUUGUUACUUCCUUUUUAAUUCAAUCAUCCAAUUUAAUUUCAUCAUUUUAUUUAAUUAAUUAAUUGUGUAUUUAUUUAUUUCUUACUUCUCUAUUUACUUAAAUUUCCCUAAUAUCUUAUUAAAAUUAUUUAUUUAAUUUCAUUUUAAAUCAUACCCUUACUUAUCCCUUCAUUCAGAUAGCUAAUGAACUCUAACGUCCCCGGAAAUAUUUAAAAUGAAAUGAGUAUUUAAAUAUAUCAAAUGCGGAAGCGAGAUCAAAAUUUCGGUUAACAUCCCUUACACAGAAACCCAAAAACGUACUUAAAAUAUAAAAGAUUAAACUAACUAAGAGAGAAACUCGAAAAUAAAACUAUGAGUGUGACUACAGAGUCUCUAGGCAUCCCCUUCGUCGUCCUCCUGCGGAACGGGCUCGGGAACCAUGUCUUCCUGAUCUGAAAUGGUUAAAUAAGGAGUGAGCUACACUAGCCCAGUAAGAACAUCACGAUAUCUCACCGUCACGGAGGUAAAGGUGUGUAGAAAAACACAAAAGACCAAUGGAGCAUAAUUUACAAUAAACUCGUUUAUUAACAUGAAAACCUUUACCAUCCACUUACCUCGGUGGAAUUUAUGAAAACAAUAUAAGAAAAAUAAUAACAUUAUCACAAUCAUGGAAUAAUAUAAGCUGUAAAACAUAGCACUUAUCACGCUUUUUGUAAUUCAAUCAUUAUACAACAUAUCCCUUUCUCAUUUACCAGCCUACUAGUAUCCAUGGGGGUCCCUAGGGGUCACGCUACCCGUUAACCUUUAACAUUCAUAAUCAGUUUCCAGGGCCGUCCCCAUACCCCGUCCGGUAUGGGCGCCAAAACCAUAAACCUCAAUACCCCGUCCGGUAUGAGGGUGAAACGGGCCGUCCCCAUACCCCGUCCGGUAUGGGCGCCAAAACCAUAAGAUCUCCAUACCCCGUCCGGCAUGUGAGACCACAAUCCCGGUAGGGUUCCCUAUGGACCCGGUCGGUCCACCAUCUCCCAGGAUAUCUAGUCAGGCUGACCCCAUCAUACAAUUAUCAGUCUACACAAUGUUUCAUUUCCCUUUUCCUCAAUAAGCAUCAUCAAUUCACAUUUAAACAAGCAAAUCGUAAUUCAUGCCGAACAGACAACAUACAGUAUCAGUUCUUCAGUCAUUCAACCCAUAAUUAAUAAAACAGUAAUAUAUGCAUUCGAAACUAUAAAAUGAACACAUCAAACCCCAUAAUGCAUUUAAAGCUGUAAAACAAGCCAAAUAACAGUAAAUCAUCAAUCACACUAGACUCGGGCUCCAUUAGCAACCUUAAGCAAUUUCACACAUGCGUUAAUUCAAGAAAUACCGUUUUAUCAUUUUGAACUUUAAUACCGUGAUAGGAAAUAGGGUGAGGGGUCCUUACUUGUUUUCGGGAUCCGAAUACGAUUCACAGUGCACCUGCAGGCCGUCCCUAAUUUUCCCUGAAUUUUUCCCGGGGAACUGAAACACACUAACAGUACCUGCACGUGUUCCAAAAAAAAUCCAAAUUAGGCCCAGGGCCCCUUUCGGACCAAAUCGCAACUCCGGCACGGCGGCUCCGCCGUGCUCCGGCGACGGCGCCGCCGCUGGCGGCGGCGAGUCGCCUCGGGUUGGCUAUUUUCGGCCGUUUUCGGCCGAAUUCGGCCACACUCGCAUUGGUCCUUGUUAGAAAACAACCCUAGGGCCCUCGGGGGGCCAAAAAUCACGGAAAAACGGAGCUUACCGGCGGCGGCGCUCUCGGGUACGGCGGCUCUCCGGCGAGGUUUGUGUUUUGGUGAUUCAGCUUCGGUCAACCUGUAGAGAAAAGAAUGGUGAUCACGGUGAUAUAAAAAUUGCAUCGAACGGAGGCCGGGAAGGACCUCGUCGGAGGCAAAAAACCGAGAGGGGCGCGGCGGCGCCGCUGGGUUUCGGCCGCGUAUUCCGGCCGUUUGGCCGGGAUUUCGGCCUCAAUUUGGCCAUAGGAGGAAUCAGCGGAAAAAAACGAGUCGGGGGUAUGAAAUUUACCUCGAUCGGCGGUCGAAGAUUUCUCCGGUGCGGCGGCGGGUGGCGGCGGUCGGCCUCUAGUUCGUCUUCUCCGGCGAGCGGCAGCGGCUAGGGUUUGUGGUCUGGUGUGGGGGUUCUAUUUAUAACCCAUUGCCUUUUGAU
rnacentral:lncRNA from 1 species